rnacentral:rRNA from 1 species
GUGGGGAAUAUUGGACAAUGGGCGAAAGCCUGAUCCAGCAAUGCCGCGUGAGUGAUGAAGGCCUUAGGGUUGUAAAGCUCUUUUACCAGGGAUGAUAAUGACAGUACCUGGAGAAUAAGCUCCGGCUAACUCCGUGCCAGCAGCCGCGGUAAUACGGAGGGAGCUAGCGUUGUUCGGAAUUACUGGGCGUAAAGCGCACGUAGGCGGUUACUCAAGUCAGAGGUGAAAGCCCGGGGCUCAACCCCGGAACUGCCUUUGAAACUAGGUAACUGGAAUCUUGGAGAGGUCAGUGGAAUUCCGAGUGUAGAGGUGAAAUUCGUAGAUAUUCGGAAGAACACCAGUGGCGAAGGCGACUGACUGGACAAGUAUUGACGCUGAGGUGCGAAAGCGUGGGGAGCAAACAGGAUUAGAAACCCGGGUAGUCC